rnacentral:ncRNA from 1 species
CAAUUGGUUCACUCUUAUAGUGAGGAAAGAGGGAAUCGGGUGAAAGUCCCGAACAGUCCCGCUGCUGUGAGUCGCCAUUUAGCGGUGUAAACAUAAGCCACUGUCAGUAAUGAACGGGAAGGCGUUUGCACCGGGCGAUAAGUCAGAAGACCUGCCGUUGUAUGUU